GAUGAACGCUGGCGGCGUGCCUAAUACAUGCAAGUCGAGCGAACAGAUGAGGAGCUUGCUCCUCUGACGUUAGCGGCGGACGGGUGAGUAACACGUGGAUAACCUACCUAUAAGACUGGGAUAACUUCGGUAAACCGGAGCUAAUACCGGAUAAUAUAUUGAACCGCAUGGUUCAAUAGUGAAAGACGGUUUUGCUGUCACUUAUAGAUGGAUCCGCGCCGCAUUAGCUAGUUGGUAAGGUAACGGCUUACCAAGGCAACGAUGCGUAGCCGACCUGAGAGGGUGAUCGGCCACACUGGAACUGAGACACGGUCCAGACUCCUACGGGAGGCAGCAGUAGGGAAUCUUCCGCAAUGGGCGAAAGCCUGACGGAGCAACGCCGCGUGAGUGAUGAAGGUCUUCGGAUCGUAAAACUCUGUCAUUAGGGAAGAACAAAUGUGUAAGUAACUAUGCACGUCUUGACGGUACCUAAUCAGAAAGCCACGGCUAACUACGUG
rnacentral:rRNA from 1 species